rnacentral:rRNA from 1 species
ACGGAAGGCAGCAGCUAAGAAUAUUCCGCAAUGGACGAAAGUCUGACGGAGCGACGCCGCGUGGAUGAUGAAGGUCGGAAGAUUGUAAAAUCCUUUUAUAACUGAGGAAUAAGUACUGUGAGAGAAACGCAGUAUGGUGACUGUAGGUUAUGAAUAAGCAACGGCUAAUUACGUGCCAGCAGCCGCGGUAACACGUAAGUUGCGAGCGUUGUUCGGAAUUAUUGGGCGUAAAGGGCAUGUAGGCGGUUUUGCAAGCUUGGUGUGAAAUCUCGGAGCUCAACUCCGAAAUUGCGUUGAGAACUGCAUAACUGGAGUCACUGAGGGGCAAUCAGAAUUCCUGGUGUAGGGGUGAAAUCUGUAGAUAUCUGGAAGAAUACCAAUGGCGAAGGCAGGCUGCUAACAGAUGACUGACGCUGAGGCGUGAAGGUGCGGGGAGCAAACAGGAUUAGAUACCCUGGUA